GAGGACGCUGAGAGCUGUCAGACUCUCUCGCCUCACUGGCUGUUCCCUCCACGGACCAGGUGAACCGUAUGUAACCAUCAAAGCGUACGCUGCUGUUGAAGAGGAUGAGGUGUCCCUGUCUGAGGGUGAAGCCAUCGAGGUCAUUCAUAAGCUCCUAGAUGGCUGGUGGGUGGUCAGGAAAGGGGACAUCACCGGCUACUUCCCAUCCAUGUAUCUGCAGAAGGCUGGGGAGGAGAUAACCCAGGCCCAGCGACAGAUUAGAAGCCGCGGGGCACCACCUCGCAGGUCGACCAUCCGCAAUGCACAGAGCAUCCACCAGCGUUCUCGGAAGCGCCUCAGCCAGGACACCUAUCGCCGCAACAGCGUCCGAUUCCUGCAGCAGCGCAGACGCCCGGCGCGACCUGGGCCGCAGAGCCCUGACUCAAAGGACAAUCCAUCGACUCCGCGCGCCAAACCACAGCCUGCGGUGCCUCCGAGACCCAGCUCGGACCUCAUCCUGCACCGCUGCACAGAGAGCACCAAGAGGAAACUGACGUCCGCCGUGUGAGGGGCGGCUGCACUGAAAGGCGGUCCUAUCCCUACCCUUGUAUAUAUUUGUAUAUAGCCUCAGGUCAGAGGCUCCUACCCUGCUUUAAUGUUUGGAAUGGACUCAGACUCUGCAGCAAAGGACAGGACUGGGUUUCUCUCCACGGGUAUUGCUAGGAUGAGAGGAGGCAGUCAGCGUUGCUGGGGGGUUUGCAGGAACAAAAAAGGUCUGAUUACCCGCUGCCUUAGUCUUGACCAAGGUCAAGUUUGCAGAAGGCCAAGUGUCUUAGGAACGCCCUAAGGAAACUGUUUCUCAACCUGUUGGCCAUGACCCCUUUGGGGAGGGUGUCGAAAGACUCUUUCUCAGAAGUUGCCUUAGAUCAUUGGAAAACACAGAUAUUAUUUUUUUUUUUUUCGGAGCUGGGGACCGAACCCAGGGCCUUGCGCUCGCUAGGCAAGCACUCUACCGCUGAGCU
rnacentral:lncRNA from 14 species